CAUUAGAUGACUGAAAGAAAGUGCUGGUCUCUUAAACCAUUUYAUAGUAAUUAACGACUACUUCUAAUAG
rnacentral:tRNA from 1 species